rnacentral:tRNA from 1 species
GGGGUAUAACUCAGUGGUAGAGGGCAUGCUUGGCAUGCACGAGGUUCUGGGUUAAACCCCCAGCACCCGCA